rnacentral:rRNA from 1 species
UACCAGCACCCCGAGUGGUCGGGACGAUUAUUGGGCCUAAAGCAUCCGUAGCCGGUCCUGCAAGUCUUCCGUUAAAUCCAGCUGCUUAACAGAUGGGCUGCGGAAGAUACUAUAGAGCUAGGAGGCGGGAGAGGCAAGCGGUACUCGAUGGGUAGGGGUAAAAUCCGUUGAUCCAUUGAAGACCACCAGUGGCGAAGGCGGCUUGCCAGAACGCGCUCGACAGUGAGGGAUGAAAGCUGGGGGAGCAAACCGG